rnacentral:rRNA from 1 species
UACGGAGGGGGCAAGCGUUGUUCGGAAUUACUGGGCGUAAAGGGCGCGUAGGCGGCCGCCUAAGUCAGACGUGAAAUCCCCAAGCUUAACUUGGGAACUGCGUCUGAUACUGGGUGGCUUGAGUUCGGGAGAGGAAUGUGGAAUUCCAGGUGUAGCGGUGAAAUGCGUAGAUAUCUGGAGGAACACCGGUGGCGAAGGCGGCAUUCUGGACCGAAACUGACGCUGAGGCGCGAAAGCCAGGGGAGCAAACGGG